rnacentral:rRNA from 1 species
CCAAUAGCGUAUAUUAAAGUUGUUGCAGUUAAAAAGCUCGUAGUUGAAUUUCGGGGUCAGUAGAUUGGUCGUGCCACUGGUAUGUACUGGUCUUACUGGCUCCUCCUUCCUGAUGAACCGUAAUGCCAUUAAUUUGGUGUUGCGGGGAGACUGGACUGUUACUUUGAAAAAAUUAGAGUGUUUAAAGCAGGCUAACGCUUGAAUACAUUAGCAUGGAAUAAUGAAAUAGGACGUUCGAUCUUAUUUUGUUGGUUUCUAAGAUUGACGUAAUGAUUAAUAGGGAUAGUUGGGGGCAUUAGUAUUCAAUUGUCAGAGGUGAAAUUCUUGGAUUUAUUGAAGACUAACUACUGCGAAAGCAUUUGCCAAGGAUGUUUUCAUUAAUCAAGAACGAAAGUUAGGGGAUCGAAGACGAUCAGAUACCGUCGUAGUCUUAACCAUAAACUAUGCCGACUAGGGAUCGGAUGAUGUUAAUUUUUUAAUGACUCAUUCGGCGCCUUACG